rnacentral:rRNA from 1 species
CAAGUCGAGGGGCAGCAGGUCUGUAGCAAUACAGAUGCUGGCGACCGGCAAACGGGUGCGGAACACGUACAGAACCUUCCUUCGAGCGGGGAAUAGCCCAGAGAAAUUUGGAUUAAUACCCCAUAGUAUUAUGGAGUGGCAUCACUUUGUAAUUAAAGAUUUAUCACUUGAAGAUGGCUGUGCGGCUGAUUAGGUAGUUGGCGGGGUAACGGCCCACCAAGCCUGCGAUCAGUAACUGGUGUGAGAGCACGACCAGUCACACGGGCACUGAGACACGGGCCCGACUCCUACGGGAGGCAGCAGUAAGGAAUAUUGGUCAAUGGACGCAAGUCUGAACCAGCCUUGCCGCGUGGAGGAUGAAGGCCCUCUGGGUUGUAAACUUCUUUUAUAUGGGACGAAAAAGGGUCUUUCUAGAUCAACUGACGGUACCAUUUGAAUAAGCACCGGCUAACUCCGUGCCAGCAGCCGCGGUAAUACGGAGGGUGCAAGCGUUAUCCGGAUUCACUGGGUUUAAAGGGUGCGUAGGUGGGUUGAUAAGUCAGUGGUGAAAUCUCCGAGCUUAACUUGGAAACUGCCAUUGAUACUAUUGGUCUUGAAUAUUGUGGAGGUCAGCGGAAUAUGUCAUGUAGCGGUGAAAUGCUUAGAGAUGACAUAGAACACCAAUUGCGAAGGCAGCUGGCUACACAUAUAUUGACACUGAGGCACGAAAGCGUGGGGAUCAAACAGGAUUAGAUACCCUGGUAGUCCACGCCCUAAACUAUGGAUACUCGACAUACGCGAUACACUGUGUGUGUCUGAGCGAAAGCAUUAA